CCUACGGGAGGCAGCAGUGGGGAAUAUUGGACAAUGGGGGGAACCCUGAUCCAGCCAUGCCGCGUGUGUGAAGAAGGCCCUCGGGUUGUAAAGCACUUUCAGUGAGGAAGAACGCCUGGUGGUUAAUACCCAUCAGGAAAGACAUCACUCACAGAAGAAGCACCGGCUAACUCUGUGCCAGCAGCCGCGGUAAUACGGAGGGUGCGAGCGUUAAUCGGAAUUACUGGGCGUAAAGCGCGCGUAGGUGGCUUGAUAAGCCGGUUGUGAAAGCCCCGGGCUCAACCUGGGAACGGCAUCCGGAACUGUCAAGCUAGAGUGCAGGAGAGGAAGGUAGAAUUCCCGGUGUAGCGGUGAAAUGCGUAGAGAUCGGGAGGAAUACCAGUGGCGAAGGCGGCCUUCUGGACUGACACUGACACUGAGGUGCGAAAGCGUGGGUAGCAAACAGGAUUAGAUACCCGAGUAGUC
rnacentral:rRNA from 1 species